CCUACGGGAGGCAGCAGUGAGGAAUAUUGGUCAAUGGGCGGAAGCCUGAACCAGCCAAGUAGCGUGCGGGAUGAAGGCCCUACGGGUCGUAAACCGCUUUUGCACGGGGAUAACACCCUCCACUUGUGGAGGUCUGCAGGUACCAUGCGAAUAAGGGCCGGCUAAUUCCGUGCCAGCAGCCGCGGUAAUACGGAAGGCCCGAGCGUUAUCCGGAUUCAUUGGGCUUAAAGGGAGCGUAGGCGGGCGUUCAAGUCAGCUGUAAAAUCGCGCGGCUCAACCGCGCCCCGCAGUUGAAACUGGACGCAUUGAGUUCACAACAGGCAGGCGGAAUUCGUGGUGUAGCGGUGAAAUGCAUAGAUAUCACGAGGAACCCCGAUUGCGAAGGCAGCCUGCCGGGGUGCGACUGACGCUGAGGCUCGAAGGUGCGGGUAUCAAACAGGAUUAGAUACCCCAGUAGUC
rnacentral:rRNA from 1 species